rnacentral:piRNA from 1 species
UGCAGUUCCGAAAGCUGGGUCCU